rnacentral:lncRNA from 1 species
CUUGGGUAAAUGCAGAACCUCUGAAAGUCUUAGUUUCACUCAUCUGUAAAUUCGAGAGAACAGUGGGACUUGACCUGCCUAUCUCAUAGAGAUGUUAUGAAGAUAAAAGAAGUUAUGUAUGAGAGAGCCUUUUGUACACAGUAAAGCAUGGCUCUGGUUCCCAUCCCAGCCACUCCAUUGAAGCUGUUCUAAGGCCACCAUGACCAGGAAACUUGCCUUGAAGCAUGACUCAUCUUUUAUUCAGCUUCAGAAGAAACAUUUAAGUCUUUGUUUCAUUUCCAGGGACUCAGUUUGGGCUGACUCUUCCCCGACCAGGCUCUCCCUAAUGCCCUGUGGCCUCAACAAAGCACCCUCAGGGCAGCUGGGGUGGCUGAGGAAUGUCGCACAUAUUACCGAGGGAAGCAGGUGGAGAGGGGAUGCAAGGUGCCAGCUUUUGCUUUGUCCUCAGCCAGCCUCUGCUCCUUCAUCAUGAAAGCAACUGCUUCACACUCCUUCAAGGCAGAGGUUGAUCUGAGACCAAGAGGAAAGGGAAGGAGACAGUAAUCUGUAGUUAGAAACCAAAUAUUUUUAUAAUAAAAGGUCAUAUCUAAAUGAAGAUCUUUACGUGGGAAUUUUAUUAUUGUUAACCUG